rnacentral:rRNA from 1 species
AGUGAACGCUGGCGGUAGGCCUAACACAUGCAAGUCGAACGGCAGCACAGUAAGAGCUUGCUCUUACGGGUGGCGAGUGGCGGACGGGUGAGGAAUACAUCGGAAUCUACUUUUUCGUGGGGGAUAACGUAGGGAAACUUACGCUAAUACCGCAUACGACCUACGGGUGAAAGCAGGGGAUCUUCGGACCUUGCGCGAUUGAAUGAGCCGAUGUCGGAUUAGCUAGUUGGCGGGGUAAAGGCCCACCAAGGCGACGAUCCGUAGCUGGUCUGAGAGGAUGACCACACACAGUGGAGCUGAACCACGACCACGCCUCCUAGGGGAGGAAGCAGGGGGAAAUGUGGAACAAGGGCCCAAAGCCUAACCCACCCACGCCGCGUGGGAGAAGAAGCCCUUCGGUUUUAAAACCCUUUUUUUGGGAAAAAAAAAGCAGCUGUUAAACCCCCCGCUUUUCUGGGGGACCCAAAAAAAUAGGCCCCGCCUAACUUCGUG